rnacentral:rRNA from 2 species
GACGUAGGGAGCGAGCGUUGUCCGGAUUCAUUGGGCGUAAAGAGCGCGUAGGCGGCCGUGCAAGUCGGUUGUGAAAUCCCGGGGCUCAACCCCGGGACUGCGUCCGAUACUGCACGGCUCGAGGCAGGUAGGGGAGAGUGGAAUUCCCGGUGUAGCGGUGAAAUGCGCAGAUAUCGGGAGGAACACCGGUGGCGAAGGCGGCUCUCUGGACCUGUCCUGACGCUGAGGCGCGAAAGCUAGGGGAGCGAACAGG